rnacentral:lncRNA from 1 species
AAAAAGAUGGCUAAAAGGAGGAAGAAGGGAACGGGUUAGGAUGGAAUUAGGGUUAGGGUUCGGCCAGUUGUCGGAGAAGUCAGAGAGAAGAAGGAGAUGGAAAAAAAAAGAAAAAAAAUAAAAUAACCGCAUCAAAGAAAGAUAGAAUGAGCUUUAGAUAAGGAGGAAUAGAAGGAGAAGGGUUACCCAUGGUGAUGACGGUGGUGAUGGAACCAAGGGAGAGAGCAUAGAUGGCGGCCAUUUUGCUCAUACCAAGCAAAAUAAGAAACAACAAAAAAAUGGCCAUGGUUCUUGGCGAAGCCCGGGCUUGUACAUCAUUGCCGCUGCUCCCUCAGGCUCAGUGUCCUCCCCAGCUUACUGGCCAUCGGUCAUAACGGCGGUGAUGGCAUCUCCUCCAUGGAGAGAGCAAAAACAACAAUGGUGGGAGAAAUCAGGGGGGAUGAGGGUUUUGAGAGGGGUGGAUGGGUGGCAAAGGUUGAAUACCAAGAUGGAGGAGAGGGAAAAAACAUGGAUCGGGUGGAAGGGUGUUGGGAGUGGUGGUGGUUGUAGGAGAAAGGGGGUAGAUGAGGAUUUUGAGAGGGGCGGUGGCGGUGGCAGCGG